GCUUACGACCACACGGCCUGAGUACGCUGAUCUCGUCUGAUCUCGGAAGCUAAGCAGGGUCGGGCCUGGUUAGUACUGGAUGGGAGACCGCCUGGGAAUAACAGGUGCUGUAAGCU
rnacentral:rRNA from 1 species